CCUUUAAUGUUUGAUGUUCUAACGUUGGCCCGUAAUCCGGGUUGCGGACAGUGUCUGGUGGGUAGUUUGACUGGGGCGGUCUCCUCCUAAAGAGUAACGGAGGAGCACGAAGGUUGGCUAAUCCUGGUCGGACAUCAGGAGGUUAGUGCAAUGGCAUAAGCCAGCUUGACUGCGAGCGUGACGGCGCGAGCAGGUGCGAAAGCAGGUCAUAGUGAUCCGGUGGUUCUGAAUGGAAGGGCCAUCGCUCAACGGAUAAAAGGUACUCCGGGGAUAACAGGCUGAUACCGCCCAAGAGUUCAUAUCGACGGCGGUGUUUGGCACCUCGAUGUCGGCUCAUCACAUCCUGGGGCUGAAGUAGGUCCCAAGGGUAUGGCUGUUCGCCAUUUAAAGUGGUACGCGAGCUGGGUUUAGAACGUCGUGAGACAGUUCGGUCCCUAUCUGCCGUGGGCGCUGGAGAACUGAGGGGGGCUGCUCCUAGUACGAGAGGACCGGAGUGGACGCAUCACUGGUGUUCGGGUUGUCAUGCCAAUGGCACUGCCCGGUAGCUAAAUGCGGAAGAGAUAAGUGCUGAAAGCAUCUAAGCACGAAACUUGCCCCGAGAUGAGUUCUCCCUGACUCCUUGAGGGUCCUGAAGGAACGUUGAAGACGACGACGUUGAUAGGCCGGGUGUGUAAGCGCAGCGAUGCGUUGAGCUAACCGGUACUAAUGAACCGUGAGGCUUAACCUUACAACGCCGAAG
rnacentral:rRNA from 1 species